AACCUCCGCAAUGUACGAAAGUGCGACGGGGGGAUCCCAAGUGUUAUGCUUUUUUGUAUAACUUUUCAUUAGUGUAAAAAGCUUUUAGAAUAAGAGCUGGGCAAGACCGGUGCCAGCCGCCGCGGUAACACCGGCAGCUCGAGUGGUAGCUGUUUUUAUUGGGCCUAAAGCGUUCGUAGCCGGUUUGAUAAGUCUUUGGUGAAAGCUUGUAGCUUAACUAUAAGAAUUGCUGGAGAUACUAUCAGACUUGAAGUCGGGAGAGGUUAGAGGUACUACCGGGGUAGGGGUGAAAUCCUAUAAUCCUGGGAGGACCACCUGUGGCGAAGGCGUCUAACUGGAACGAUCUUGGCGGUGAGUAACGAAAGCCAGGGGCGCGAACCGGAUUAGAUACCCGGGUAGUCCUGGCCGUAAACGAUGUGGACUUGGUGUUGGAAUGGCUUUGAGUUGUUCCGGUGCCGAAGGGAAGCUGUUAAGUCCACCGCCUGGGAAGUACGGUCGCAAGACUGAAACUUAAAGGAAUU
rnacentral:rRNA from 1 species